GGCUCCGACGAACUGCGACGGUUUCUGACCCUUUCUAGCCACCUUCUCUCUCACUCGGUCUUUCACUUUCUUUCUUUAUUUAUUUCUCUCUUACCACCUUCAUUCCUUCUUCCGCUAAUAUUUCACCUUUCUUUCCAUCCUUUUCAUCUUUAUCUCAAGAACGAGAAUCCAAUCAGUUUCAAAAUUCUCGCGUUUGCCGAAGGAAAACUCGCGAAUUUUUAUCACCCUAUUGAUCGAUUACUUAAAUUUUAAUAUUCCGCAUUUUAAUAUUUCUCUUAUAAAGUAUCGAACGAUUCCUACGUAUCACUCAUCGAAUUUAUUUCCAACAAAUACGGCGUUACUUUCGAAACUUUCUUUUUAUCACGAUUGAGACUACCGAGUUUACGAAUUCUAGGAAUGGCAGUAAAUUAUAUUCGUUCUUUCCAAGUUGACACUUCCCAUUUAUAAUUGGGAAAUGUAAAUACAAAGCAUACGUUGAUAUAAUAUGUGAAAGAAAAAUAAGACUCGUUGUAAGAUAGUUGUGCCUGAGUACUCGUUAUAAGAUCCUCAAAAAACUAAAAAGUAUCACUUUUCAAGAAUCGAAAUUUCCAUUCGAUCGACAGACCGAUCAAUCAAGUGCAUCGUAAUCUCAAAAAGAACUUUCUCGAAAUAUUGCAUUUCGAAUGGCAGUGGUUAUUUCAAUUUUUCGAUUUAUAAGAAAUUUCAAUCUCUUACGUUGAAGAUACUGACACGAUAAGUAUCACGUAUCCUCGUUGUUAUAAUGAACGUUAGAUAAAUAAUUAUUAAUCAUUUAAACAAAAUGAUCAUCAUGGACUUUUCGAAAAAUUUUAUAAGGGUUUUAAAAAGGUGAGAACGUCGUCUCGCGACGACAAAGGUUCAGCAGCAACAACAGCAGGUGCUGGCGCUACACCUGUCCGCAGGCUGAGAGCACCGGUCAGCUUGUGCGCCGAAGUCCGCUCGAAGCGUCGAAUUCCACUGUGUUUACUCAUUCGAAAAGAACGUACCAGCCGAAGACGGCCGUAGUCGACCGAGUCGAAGAGAAACCGCGUGUCCUCGGUGGCGCUAGCGUCGAACUUCUCGGUUAAAAAGAGAAAGAAGAUUUACUUAUGUUCAGAAUAAUGUGUAAUGAUGGAUGUCGAUGGUGUUCAACGUCGUUUUUAUAAAAACUCUGAUUUUCACAUUCAACACAAUCCUCUGCAGACGUAGUAUAUUUAACUUUAAGUUAACCAUUACUUAUUAUCAAUAUUUUUAUUAAUGAUAAGCUUUAUAUGUGCAAGUAAAAAUCUCAAAUUUAGAUAUGUGUAUAUAUAAACACACAAACACACAUACAUGCAAAUAUAUAUAAUCACUUUUGAAGGAGAUACAAUUAACUGGUAUCGGAGAGAACGAUUGACUUUAUUAACCUUGGAAGAUGUUCAUAAAUGACCUGUAAUAAUGGCGGUGGGUCGUAUUGCAUAAUAAUCGACUGGCAUCGUCGUAGCGAGAGUGAAAGCAACUCGUAGAUGCGAGCCAAGCGCAUUAAAAUCGUCUAACCGCAGUGGUAUGGAGCUCUUACCGUAUCUUCUAUUUAUUAUCUGUAGAUAACUAACAAGAUUUAACGACGCUUUUCGAAUUUCUACCGAAAGACAAGAUUGUAUUGAAUAUUUCAAAACAAUCGAUGUAAGUAUAAAACUUUCCAAAUAGUUAUGAUAGACAAUUUGUUUCAAAAACAUUUGGUUCUAGUCAAUGUUAUCAUAUCUUUAAAUUAUAUUUUACUUUUUGAUAACUUUUUAAAUUUUAUAGAUUUUUUCAAUAAUAAUCGUAGAUAAUUUCGAAAAAAUAUUUCAUAAAACCGUAAUUUAUUCAUUUUUAUGUAUUCUAAUUUUGAGUAUGUACAUUAAUCGUAAAAAUAUUUUCUUAGAAUAUAAGGUGGUACUCAACCUUUAUAAUAACCUUUAUAAAAACAAGCGAGAUGAAUCGGGAAACUAUUUAUAAAAAGACACAUUGAAAUAUUGUAAUGUGAGUUGUCGUUCGCUUUCGGCAGAGAAAGCUUAAAAUAAGUAUAAAAAAAGCAUCAACGUUGUCUGCUGUUUCGAU